UGGGGAAUUUUGGACAAUGGGCGAAAGCCUGAUCCAGCAAUGCCGCGUGUGUGAAGAAGGCCUUCGGGUUGUAAAGCACUUUUGUCCGGAAAGAAAUCCUUGGCUCUAAUACAGUCGGGGGAUGACGGUACCGGAAGAAUAAGCACCGGCUAACUACGUGCCAGCAGCCGCGGUAAUACGUAGGGUGCAAGCGUUAAUCGGAAUUACUGGGCGUAAAGCGUGCGCAGGCGGUUUGCUAAGACCGAUGUGAAAUCCCCGGGCUCAACCUGGGAACUGCAUUGGGUGACUGGCAGGCUAGAGUAUGGCAGAGGGGGGUAGAAUUCCACGUGUAGCAGUGAAAUGCGUAGAGAUGUGGAGGAAUACCGAUGGCGAAGGCAGCCCCCUGGGCCAAUACUGACGCUCAUGCACGAAAGCGUGGGGAGCAAACAGGAUUAGAUACCCUGGUAGUCCACGCCCUAAACGAUGUCACUAGUUGUUGGGGAUUCAUUUCCUUAGUAACGUAGCUAACGCGUGAAGUUGACCGCCUGGGGAGUACGGUCGCAAGAUUAAAACUUAAAUGAAUUGACGGGGUCAUAGCUG
rnacentral:rRNA from 1 species